GUGAGGGAGGGUGUGACUAGUGACAGUUAGGCAGGGAAGGGGUGACUAGUGACAGAGGGAGGGGUGACUAGGGACAGAGUGAGGGAGGUGGUGACUAGUGACAGUCACCACCUCCCUCACUCUGUCACUAGUCUCCCUCACUCUGUCACUAGUCCUUCCCUCUGUCACUAGUCACCCACUCCCGCACUCUCUAGUGACAGUCACCACCUCCCUCACUCUGUCACUAGUCACCACCUCCCUCACUCUGUCACUAGUCACCACCUCCCUCCGUCAC